rnacentral:rRNA from 1 species
GUUACGAUCGCCUUUUCGGUUGAUCCUGCCGGACCUGACUGCUAUCGGAUUGAUACUAAGCCAUGCGAGUCAUUGUAGCAAUACAAGGCAGACGGCUCAGUAACGCGUAGUCAAUCUACCCCACGGACGGGAAUAACCUCGGGAAACUGAGAAUAAUGCCCGAUAGAACAUUAUGCCUGGAAUGGUUUAUGUUUCAAAUGAUUUAUCGCCAUAGGAUGGGACUGCGGCCUAUCAGUUUGUUGGUGAGGUAAUGGCCCACCAAGACUAUUACAGGUACGGGCUCUGAGAGGAGUAGCCCGGAGAUGGGUACUGAGACACGGACCCAGGCCCUAUGGGGCCGCAGCAGGACGAAGAAAACUUUGCAAAUGUGCGAAAGCACGACAAGGUUAAUCCGAGUGGUUUCUGCUAAAGAAAACCUUUUGUCAGUCCUAGAAACACUAACGAAUAAGGGGUGGGCAAGUUCUGGUGUCAGCCGCCGCGGUAAAACCAGCACCUCAAGUGGUCAGGAUGAUUAUUGGGCCUAAAGCAUCCGUAGCUCGUUUUGUAAGUUUUCUGGUUAAAUCCAUACGCUUAACGUAUGGGGCUGCCGGGAAUACUGCAUAACUAGGAAGUGGGAGAGGUAGACGGUACUCGGUAGGAAGGGGUAAAAUCCUUUGAUCUAUUCGAUGACCACCUGUGGCGAAGGCGGUACUACCAGAACACGUUCGGCUGGUGAGGGAUGAAAGCUGGGGGAGCUAUAACCGGAUUAGAUACUUCCGGGUAGUCCCAGCUGUAAACUAUGCUAAACUCAGUGAUGCAUUGGCUUGUGGCCAAUGCUAGUGCUUGCAGGGAAGGGUUAAGUUUGCCCCUGGGAAGUACGUACGCAAGUCAUGAAACUUAAAGGAAUUGGCGGGAGCUGGCCACAAG